CUGUCAUCUGCAGCAACAUAUCUUUCCACCAAACCAAUUAACUCAUCAGCUGUUUGUGGAUCGCUCUGACUGACCCAUCGACGCAAUGAAGCAGGCAAGCCCCGCAGGAAUCUGUCCAUCACAAGAAGUUCCAUGAUAUGGCUUGCCGUAUUUAUUUCUGGUUGUAACCACUUUCUAGCAAGAUGUAUCAGGUCAAACAUCUGGGAGCGGAUAGGUUUCUCUUGGUUGAAAG